AUGAGGAGUGUGUGUGUGCUGCUGCUGCUGGCUGUCGGACACAGUGUGAAGUGUGAGACACUGACACAACCAGCCUCUGUGACUGUGCAGCCAGGACACACUCUCACCAUCUCCUGUACUGUCUCAUACUCUGUGAGCAGCUACUACACAGCAUGGAUCAGACAGCCUGCUGGGAAAGCACUGGAGUGGAUUGGAUAUCAUCUAGCAGGAUCCACACUGUACCUCAAAGAUUCACUAAAGAACAAAUUCAGUAUAAAUGCUGUUUCCUCCGGUAACACAGUGACUCUGACUGGACAGAACAUGCAGCCUGGAGACACUGCAGUGUACUACUGUGCUCGGUAUCCACAGUCACACAAAGUAUAUCUAAAGAUGUACAAAAACACACAAGGCUGUUAUUUGCUGUAG